GGUGGCUCAGUGGUAGAGCCCCUGCCUUGCAUGCAUGAGGCCCUGGGUUCAAUUCCUCAGCACCA
rnacentral:tRNA from 1 species